CGAUGAACUAUCGAUCUCAUCCGAAUGGUCAGAUCGGAGCUGAAGUCUAUGGAGCUGCCGAAGGGGUCACGUGAUGUCGUUUGGGCCGUGCGAUCUCUAUGGCUAGACCAUGUUGCCAUAUGUUUACCGUAUUGUCAAGAAAUUAUCACAUCAUCGGGUGGAUAAAAUGCAGUCGCAAUAAUAUUCAUGCCAGGAUGACUCCUUGUC
rnacentral:lncRNA from 1 species